UUGUAGGGACUUCGGUCCUUCCAAGAUGCAACCCUUGCCUUUUUCUAGCGUCUCUCCGUUUCCUCGGCAGCUCCGCCUGCCAGCGAGGACCCCCGAAAACCUUUUGCAAUCUCCGUACAAACUUCUGAAAAUACAACAAAAAACGUUA
rnacentral:misc_RNA from 1 species